GCAAUCCAGGACAUCACGCGGAACCAGGAUGUCACCCCAGAGGAGAUUGUGUCGCUCAUAUUCGAGAAGAUCGACAUCAACGGAGAGGGUGAGCUGACCCUAGAGGAGUUCAUCGAGGGGGCGAAGGGUCACGACGACAUCAUGGAGAUGCUGAAGAAGAUGAUGGACCUCACACCCGUACUCAUCAUCAUCGUCCAAGGAAUAGUAGUCUGAGAGAGACCAGGCCAACCACCGCCAUAGCCACUAUGUACACCUGUGACCGGGGAGAGAGAUGACAUAAAGACUUAAGUCCAUUACAAACAUUUACCCCACAAACUAAUAAUUGUGAGAUUUGCCCGCACAACGGACCUGAGGGAAUGCGUUACCUUAUGAAACAAGACUGUUGUUCCCCAAUGAGGGUUCUAUGUCACACUGCCAGGUCUGGGGGUGGACAAUGUAGCCCGUACGUAGUGGACCCUAGGAAGAGAAGCAGCUAACAGGGUUCCGAAUAACUAAUUAAUAAAUAGUCCCAGACUGCUGAAGACUGAGGCAUCCAGUCCUGUACUGCAGCCCACUAACCACACACAGAUGAAGGGAUGGAUGAAGGGAGGAAGACAUUGAGAGACCCUUCUUCAACACCAUCACAACAAACAAACUGAAUGAAAGAGAACAUUUAAAGGGACCGCUAUGGAGAGCAGUAAAGAUACCAUCUUCACAUUCUACAUGUUUGUGUUUGCUCUCUGACCACUCAGCAAGAUGAACACUUGGAUUGUGAGAGAGAGAGAGAAUUCUCUAUCAUAAAUCAUCACUAUAGGGCCAGGAGUUUACCUGACCAUUUGACCGCCACAAGGAGAUGCUUUGGGCUUUAAUUAUAGGCUAUGUUCAGGAGUCAGGUCACAUGGUCAGGUAAAGGUUUUGUCUCUAAUCAUCUCCUCUGUAGGUAUGAUCAUAAACAGGCGCAGAUAGAGACCCUAGGGGUUCUGAAGUGCCUGCCCUUUUUCCCUCCUUUUGAUUGGUGGAAUCACUUUGUUCUUUUUUUCCCAGCCCUUUCCCCCUCUUUUGACACGAGGAGUUCCGAGAGCGUCAUGUUGCCAUUUUUAUUUACUCUGCCAUUUUUAAAGUCACGCACCCUCCUCCCGUCCUUGACUUUUCCUUAAUAAGUCUAUAUAACACAGAAUCUUAUUAUCACAAACAGAAUUUGUGUUAUAAGAGGUUUUAAGAGGUCAUUUCUUGUCCCUGCCCCUCAUUCACCACCAGUCAUUCACACUCUGUCAGCCUGCCCAGCUGAUGGCCCAUCGAAACUGCACCUAAACUAUAUCGAAACUAAUUUCACACAUAUAA